rnacentral:tRNA from 1 species
GGGCCCGUAGCUCAGCCAGGUAGAGCGGCGGGCUCUUAACCCGUAGACCAAACGGGCGGAGGUCCCGGGUUCAAAUCCCGGCGGGCCCGCCA